rnacentral:tRNA from 1 species
UGCGUGGUAGCUCAGUGGCAGAGCAGUUGGCUGUUAACCAUCUGGUCGUGGGUUCGAAUCCCACCCACGCAGCCA